rnacentral:rRNA from 1 species
GACGUAGGACCCAAGCGUUAUCCGGAAUUACUGGGCGUAAAGAGUUGCGUAGGUGGCAUAGCAAGCAAAUAGUGAAAUGAUGUGGCUCAACCACAUGUCCAUUAUUUGAACUGCUAAGCUUGAGCACAUGAGAGGUAGCUGGAAUUGCUGGUGUAGGAGUGAAAUCCGUAGAUAUCAGCAGGAACACCGAUGGCGUAGGCAGGCUACUGGCAUGUUGCUGACACUAAGGCACGAAAGCGUGGGGAGCGAACGGG